rnacentral:rRNA from 1 species
UACGGAGGAUGCGAGCGUUAUCCGGAUUUAUUGGGUUUAAAGGGUGCGUAGGCGGGCUUUUAAGUCAGCGGUAAAAAUUCGGGGCUCAACCCCGUCCGGCCGUUGAAACUGGGGGCCUUGAGUGGGCGAGAAGAAGGCGGGAUGCGUGGUGUAGCGGUGAAAUGCAUAGAUAUCACGCAGAACCCCGAUUGCGAAGGCAGCCUUCCGGCGCCCUACUGACGCUGAAGCACGAAAGUGCGGGGAUCGAACAGG